GAUCAUGGCUCAGGAUGAACGCUAGCUACAGGCUUAACACAUGCAAGUCGAAGGGUAGCAGGAUCUAGCAAUAGAUUGCUGACGACCGGCGCACGGGUGAGUAACACGUAUCCAACCUUCCGUUUACUCGGGGAUAGCCUUUCGAAAGAAAGAUUAAUACCCGAUAGUAUGCUUUUCCCGCAUGGGAGAAUCAUUAAAGUUUUUCGGUAAUCGAUGGGGAUGCGUUCCAUUAGGCAGUUGGUGAGGUAACGGCUCACCAAACCUUCGAUGGAUAGGGGUUCUGAGAGGAAGGUCCCCCACAUUGGAACUGAGACACGGUCCAAACUCCUACGGGAGGCAGCAGUGAGGAAUAUUGGUCAAUGGACGAGAGUCUGAACCAGCCAAGUAGCGUGAAGGAUGACUGCCCUAUGGGUUGUAAACUUCUUUUAUAUGGGAAUAAAGGAGCCUACGUGUAGGUUUUUGUAUGUACCAUACGAAUAAGGAUCGGCUAACUCCGUGCCAGCCGCAGC
rnacentral:rRNA from 1 species